UGAUUUAAAUUAAAAGUUUUAAUAGUCCCCAGGCAUUUCCCCAAAAUUUUGGUCAAGCACAGCGGCAAGACAUGGCGGAAUGGGUGUUGAUUCAAAAGGGUGCCCAUUAAGCUUUCUUUUUUUUCUCUACAUUUUUUUAAUCACAAAACACAAUACUUAGGAGCUAUUUAACCACUUUUUUCUACAUGUUCCUAGAUAAAAUACACACUAAUUUGGAGGUAUGAAAGCAUUAAAAUUUAUUUUAUUGUUUAUUCACGUGCGAUUUCAUUUUGCGUUGAUUUCACUACAUACUUAUAAAAAGUUUAGUUAAGUAAAGAUCUUCUUACCUCCUUUAACUUCUGUUACCCAUGGACAACAUUGGACAAUAUUGCUGCCACUGACUCGCUGUUUGAGACUUUUGGUUCGUGGGUUGGAGGUCUCAGGAUCACUAAAACGUCCUUGACACUUUUACUUAUUUUACUCUCUGACAGCGACGAUAAUUAGUAGUACUGACAAAGAAAUGUGCAAUUCCAGAUUUCCCAGACACAGGGACUCGUCGUAUAUUCGAUCGUUUCAUUAUUUUGUGCAUCAAAACUAAAAAAACUUUGUUGCAGAUAUUUAGCGUUUUCCGACAAUAUUGAAUAAGCUAUUUGAUGUGAAUGCGUGUAAUGUUGGUGCUGUUAAUUAAGUCGCGUUUGAGAAAAUAGUGUGAACAUUGUAAGUUUGCGGGAGAAAUCAAAUGAGACGUUUGACUUCAAUUAAUUGUAAAUAUAACUUAAAUUACGCUGAAACGUAUACCGAGUUUUACUAAAAUAAUAUGAUUAACGUGACAUGAAUCUUCUUAAUCACGCUUUGUUUUGUUAUACUGCAAGUAAUAAUAAAACACAUGUUAUGUUCUGUUAUUCAAGAACGCACAACUGCAACAAACAACGUUGACUGUUUAUUUUGUGAAUAGUCGUGUGCAAUUUAAAUGGAACAGCAACAAAAUCAUGCAUACCUUUAAUUGUUCUUACGGCACGUGUACCGAUAAUAAUCGAUCAUUAUAGACCAUUAUUAGGGGAUACACACCAUAAUUGACCCCUAUAAACAACCCAUAAAUCGUGCUCGCGUCUUAUCAAAUCUAUUAUUAUGAACAUAAAACUUAUAAGAAUUGGUCGAUGCCAGAAUGCAGACAACAUUCAGAUCAGAGCUUGAAAUGGCUUGUAAACUUUUCAAUCAUCGCGACGUCAUUAUCUGAAAAUCAAGCGCCGCAGCGUAAUGGAUUUUGAAGUCCAGGCACCGCGGGCCCGCUGUGCUUAAACAGUCUGGGUAAAUGCCUGGUCCCCUACAGGUGUAACCUGCGGUGACAUUUUUACUCCCGGUCGAUAGUUUUAAGCUCACCUGAGCACAAUGUGCGCAUGGUGAGCUUUUGUGAUCGCCUUUUGUCCGUCGUGCGUCGUUCGCCUUCAACAUUUGCCUUGUGAACACUCUAGAGGCCACAUUUAUUGACCGAUCUUCAUGAAACUUGGUCAGAACAUUUGUCCCAUUGAAACCUCGACUGAGUUCGAACAUGAAACUUGGUCAGAACAUUUGUCCCAUUGAAACCUCGACUGAGUUCGAAACUGGGUCAUGCUGGGUCAAAAACUAGGUCGCUAGGUAAAAAAAAAACAAAAAAACUUGUGAACACUUUAGAAGUCACAUUUGAUGCUAAAUCUUCAUGUAACAUUAUCAAAAUGUUUGUCUAAAUGAUAUGUUGGUUGAGUUAAAAAAUGGUUCCGGUCCGUUGAAAAACAUGGCCGCCAGGGAGCGGGGCAGAAUUCCUAAUAUGGCUAUAGAGAAACCUUGUGAACACUCUAGAAGUCACAAUUUUUGCCCAAUUAUCAUGAAACUUGGUCAAAACAUUGGUUUCAUUGAUAUCUCGGACGAGUUCGAAAAUGGUCCAGAUCGGAAAAAAACAUGGCUGCCAGGGGGCGGGGAAGUUUUCCUUAUAUGGCUAUAGUAAAACCUUGUUAACACUCUAGAGGCCACAUUUAUUGCCUAAUCUUCAUGAAAUUUUGUCAGAAGAUUGGUCUCAAUGAUAUCUUGGAUUAGUUCGAAAAUGGUUACGUUUGCUUGAAAACAUGGCUGCCAAGGGGCGGGGCAUUUUUCCUUAUAUGGCUAUAUAUGGCUACAGUAAAACCUUGUGAACACCCUGGAGACCACAUUUAUUGUCCAAUCUUCAUGAAAUUUGGUCUGAAAAUGUGUCUCAAUGAUAUCUUGGAUGGGUUCGAAAAUGGUUACGUUUGCUUGAAAAACAUGGCAGGGCAUUUUUCCUUAUAUGGCUAUAGUAAAUUCUUGUUGACACUCUAGAGGCCACAUUUAUUGUCUGAUCUAAAUGAAACUUGGUCAGAAGAUUUAUCCCAAUAAUAUCGUGGACGAGUUCAAAAAUGGUGCUGGUUGGUUGAAAAACAUGGCCGCCAGGGGGCGGGGCAUUUUUCCUUAUAUGGCUAUUGUAAAACCUUGUUAACUCUCUAGAGGCCACAAUUAUUUUCCGAUCUUCAUGAAACUUGGUCAGAAGAUUUGUCCUAAUGCUAUCUUGGAUGAGUUCGAAAAUGAUUUCGGUUGCUAAAAAAACAUAGCCACCAGGGGGCAGGGCAUUUUUCCUUAUGUGGCUAUAUAUCAUGCUUUAGUUAAACCUUGUUAACACUCUAGAGGCCACAUUUAUUGUCAGAUCAUCAUGAAACUUGGUCAGAAGAUUAGUCCCAAUGAUAUCUUGGAUGAGUUCGAAAAUGGUUCCGGUUGGUGGAAAAACAUGGCCACCUUGUUAACACUCUAGUUAUUCUUACAAUAGUGAUUCUUUAAAAUACAAUUUUUAAUAACUUUAAAAUUCAUUAAUGAUAGUUAAUAACUCAUAAAUUCAUUAAUGAAAGAUCAGGUAUAUUUUCAUUGUAUGAUAAUUCUUAAGAAAUAAAAUAAAUGCUUAAAACUCUCUGUCAGUGUCGAUACAGAUAGUUUACAUCAGUGGUCAGUGCUUAUCUUUACCUGGAUACUAAGAAUAGCAGUGCUCUCAUUUGAUUGGAUGUUUACCUUGCCAGCUACACCUCAGAAUCAGGGCACUAGCACAUUGUUGGCCUUUUCCAUUGAAUUAGUGAUUUACUGUGUUUCACUAACUGGGAAUGUUAAGUUAGUGGAGUUAGUUUAGUUCUUUUAACUAAGUGCGAUUAUUAAAUAAAAAGUAAGGCAAAGUGACUUAGUUUUUGUUUCUCGAAGUGAAAAUAUUAAGAUAGUGAUUUAAUAAAGUACAGGACCUAGUGAAUUUAUUCAACAACAAGUGAGUGUUUUUAAUAAGUGAUAGUGAACAGAGUGAAUUUAUUAAAUGACAUAUCUCAGCUAGUCUUUUAAUUAAAGUGACUUAGUGUGUUGUGAUUAACACAAGUUAUAAUUGAUUAAUCAAAGCCGAAGAAAUGGAUUUAAACUGUUUGUUUUCUUUAAGUGUCUUACAUUAGACUUACGUGAAUAAUACAAUGAAAGCGAGUUCUUAAUUAUUUGUUUAGUGAAAGUGAAGUUUGUGAGCGAAUUCAAUUAAGUGAAAACGGGUGUGUGUUUAUCCUAGUGCUUUAUUCAGGCAUUUGCCUCAUACUGAACACAAACUGUUGACCAAGUUUAGACAUGAAAGUGUUUAAUUGUUUUCAAAACCUUGUUUUAACUGUGAUAAACUUUUGAAAGUUUAUGAACUGUAUUUCUAUAUGAGUUUUUUUUAUUGUUUGCAUUAUUGCUUAAGUAUAAAUGAUGAAUGUUUGGAAAGAAUAAAAAUAGUUUAGUCACAUUGUUGUUGAUUUUUCUUGUGCCUCAAGCUAGGCUCAGAUGAGCCCAAGUAGCUUUCCCCGUCACAGUAUGUGAUAAAUAAAUAAUAAUUAAAAUUAUUGACUUCAUUUUAAUUUGAUAGCCGGUAUGACGGGUGAAACGCUUCAGUAUAUAGUGAAAGCAUGUGAAAGUCUAGAAGACACAUUUUUUCCCAAUCUUCAUGAAAUUUGGACAUAUCUUGGAAGAGUUCAAAAAUGGUUCAGGUCUGUUAAAAAAAACAUGGCCACCAGGGGGCCAUUUGUUGUUUAUUCUUCAUGAAACUUGGUUAGAACAUUUGUUCCAUUGAUAUCUUGGGCUGCAAAGAACAGGUCAUUUCUUUUUAUCCGAGGUGAGCGACUUUGGGACUUUCAGGCCCUCUUGUUUUUCUGUUUGACCACCCGCAUCUGAAAUUAUGAAUUUCUGAAUCCUGCUACUCGAAAAGUACUUUAUCAAGGUUGAAUAAACAUAGUACAUGUAUAUGGUUAGAGGGUUAUAUGGUGAACAUGCAUGUCAGAGCUCCAGAUUUAGGAUUGAGUCUAAAGGGUAUUUUACCCCCUGAUAUUAUUGUUAAAGGGUAUUUUAAUCCUUUGUUUCAGCAAUAAAGGGUAUUUAGGAAUAGUGAGGGGUAGAUUCUAUUUCCAUAGACAACUGACAUAGUUCAAGGCGUGUUUAAUUUAAAAAUAUUAUUAUUUGUUAUUAACAAAUGCAAACAGAAUAAAUGUUAAAUGAUGAUAUGAACAGACUUUCUUUAAAAUGUUCAACUAACACAUGUUGUAUCUAAGUAUUGAUUGUGUCUUUAUUGCAUAUAGUAUUCAUGUAGUGUAUGAACAUCAUUUUACAAUUAAACUAAGCUAUGGCACUGCAUUGUUUGUCACACAAUUUGUCACCACCAUGAUAUUUGGUUUUCUUUUCUGACUUCAAUCGCUGUGACAAUGAGAUCGCUUGAAAUUAUUUUAACAAUACUAGAAGCAUCAUAAGAUUGAUCUCUAUUGACAUAUUGGAAUAUACAGUUACUUCCUGCAGGAGCCACUGUUCGUUUGAAAUGUCCCUUUUUCUAACCUAGAAUACGAUGGGCCGCCAUUUUGAUUAUAAGGUUCUUUUGAUUUGACUUACUUUUGGUUCAAAGCUUAACUUACAUAAAACACUCAACUGGAUUAUUGGUAAAACCGGUUACGCACUUUAUUCCAUUAAAAAUACAUACCAAGAUUUCUAUUGCGUAAUGUUACGUACUGGGCUGAUUUAAAAAGCAUUUUUAUGUCCCCCACUAUAGUAGUGGGGGACAUAUUGUUUUUGCCCUGUCUGUUGGUCCGUUGGUCUGUUGGUCUGUUUGCGCCAAUUUUAACAUUUUGCAAUAACUUUUGCUAUAUUGAAGAUAGCAACUUCAUAUUUGGCAUGCAUGUGUAUCUCAUGAAGCUGCACAUUUUGAGUGGUGAAAGGUCAAGGUCAUCCUUCAAGGUCAGAGGUCAAAUAUAUGUGGCCCAAAUCGCUUAUUUUAUGAAUACUUUUGCAAUAUUGAAGAUAGCAACUUGAUAUUUGGCAUGCAUGUGUAUCUCAUGGAGCUGCACAUUUUGAGUGGUGAAAGGUCAAGGUCAUCCUUCACAUGGUCAAGGUCAUCCUUCAAGGUCAAACAUCAUAUAGGGGGACAUUGUGUUUCACAAACACAUCUUGUUUUUUUUCAAUGCAUAAAUAAUCAGAUAUGCAUCUUAUCUGCAGCUCUGAUGCAUGUUAUUUCCUCUUUUUUUGGUCAGACACAAAUUGCGAUUGCUAUUGUUAUGAAAAUAAUAACAAACCGAAAAUCUGCAUCUUGCAAGAGGUAAAAUAGUACUUGCUAGGUAGAUGAAACUUGGUAUGUGGAUGUGGAUAUAGGGAUUUAUGGUGUUCAGGAUACAUUUUUUAGAUUUUUUUUUUCCUUAGACAAAAAUUGUUGUCAUCAGUGUUUCAGAUGCUAUGUUUACGCAUAUUUUAAACCUAAAAUCUGGAUCUACUGAUAACUCAAAUACCUUGCUAGGUUGUUGUAACUUGUAUGAAUGUCAAUAGAGGACCAUAUGUGGAGUGUGUACUUUAUUUUAUUGGUAAGUCCACCUGUGUGUCUGGGAAACAUGGAUCAUAUGAAAACUCAACAAGUAUGUAGGCUAAGGAGAUGACACUCAGUAUGUGGAUAGAGGGAUGAAUGGGGAAUAAGCACAUUUAUAUCAGUCUUUUACAUCAGGCAAAAAAUGUGGUUACUUUCAUUUAAGUAAUAAGAAAAAACCAAAAUCUGCAUCCUUCGAUGACUCAAAAUGUACUUCUGCUAGGUUGAUAAACAUUGGUAUGUGAAAACAGGGUCCUGUGCUGAAUAUGCAAGUUAUUUCAGUUUUUUUCAGACCAAUAUGGUUGCUAUGGUUGCAGAUAUAAUUUAAAACUGAAAUCUGCAUUGAUCUUUAACUAAAAAGGACUUGAGCUAGGUUUAUAAAACAAAGACAAUAUUAACUGGAAAGGAAUACUGUUAUGUCUGUGACAAAGCUCUUGUUUACCUAUGUUCUCUGUUCAACAUGCCCUUGAAAAGUUUUGACAUGACAUUAUUUUUUUUUAUCUCUGCCUAGACUAAUAGAACAUUAUUAUUAUAAAUGCUUCACUCCAAGUUGUUGUGUGUUUUAG